GGCUGGUCUGGAGGCAGUGAUGUUUACAAAUAAUUGAUCCACAACCAGUUACAGUUUUCUCUCCACUCCCGCUGCUUCACUUGACUAGCCUGGG
ensembl:misc_RNA Y_RNA Y RNA